CAAUUUAGCUAUUACUAAUAUCCACAGACAACUGUAAUCACCGGUGAGUGAAAACAAAAAUGACAUGGAAGUUGGAUCCUUUUUAAAAAGCGCCUUAAUAACAUACCGGUUCGCGGUAUGGCAAUCGGGAUUUUGCGAAUAUCGUUGAUGCCAGUACCGUUUUUAUUUAUUACUCGUCGAUUAUUGUAAUUUAAACACAUUUACAUGAAAAAUUAAAUGGAAAAUAAUGAAUUGAAUAUGAUUUAUCUGAAAUUAUAUUCAAUAAGGAACGAAUUGAAUGAAAUAAAAUGGUUUAAAACCAAAUAAAUUGAAAUGUUUCAGUAAGAAUUGUGGGAAUUUAUACUUUAGUGGAUAUUUUGAAUGAGUCCAAGAAACGCGGUCCAGCGACUUUAUAUUGUUUUCCUACACUAUUGACCGACCGUUAUGGCACGUUGAAGCCUGAAGAAACAGGAAAACAACAAAAAAAAACACUUCACACGACUUCGGUUCUAGUAUUCCCGCCAAAAUGUCCGCGCGAAAACAAUCACCUAGAACUACAUUUACGACUUAAUCCCUGGUUUAUUAAUAUCGUGGUCACGGAAGGCUAUCGGACGGAGUAGUCUGUGACCCCGAAUACGUAAAGUAUUGAAAACAUCUGGAAAUUGUAAAAUGAAAAUUUGGCGAAUACCGAAAUAAAUCCUAAUUGUGAUUAA